rnacentral:tRNA from 1 species
CGUCCAAUAGCUCAGCGGUAGAGCAGCGCUCUCAUAAGGCGUUGAUCGGUGGAUCGUACCCACCUUGGACGACCA